rnacentral:lncRNA from 1 species
ACGCACCUCCCUUCCAACAACAUCGAACUCAUUGGAUCUCGUAUCCGCCCCGCCUCGAUCGGUAUCAAAGCUUCCCGAGCGAUCCUGGCAUGUCAAGCCAUCAAGCUCAAAAGGCUCAAGCCUGGGCCACGUGGGGACACCAAAGCACAGGCUAAGGUCCCAUCAAGUAUUAAAGCCCCAUCAACAGAUCGAAGCUAUUUAUUAUAACAC